ensembl:snoRNA
GCCACUUGUAUAUGUUUUUGUCUUAAAUUGUGGGCUAAAAACUCAAUGAACAGGUGCAAAAAAUAAAUCCUCUUUUGCAACCCAGAACUCAAUGUUCGGUAUGAGUUUUGAUACACAAAAGAAGGAACAUU